rnacentral:rRNA from 1 species
GUGGGGAAUAUUGCACAAUGGGGGAAACCCUGAUGCAGCGACGCCGCGUGAGUGAAGAAGUAAUUCGUUAUGUAAAGCUCUAUCAGCAGGGAAGAAAAAAGACGGUACCUGACGAAGAAGCACCGGCUAAAUACGUGCCAGCAGCCGCGGUAAUACGUAUGGUGCAAGCGUUAUCCGGAUUUACUGGGUGUAAAGGGUGCGUAGGUGGCAUGGCAAGUCAGAAGUGAAAGGCCGGGGCUCAACCCCGGGACUGCUUUUGAAACUGUCAGGCUGGAGUGCAGGAGAGGAAAGCGGAAUUCCUAGUGUAGCGGUGAAAUGCGUAGAUAUUAGGAGGAACACCAGUGGCGAAGGCGGCUUUCUGGACUGAAACUGACACUGAGGCACGAAAGCGUGGGGAGCAAACAGGA